rnacentral:lncRNA from 10 species
GAUUUACUUAAAAGAAAAGAAUUUCUGCGUGGAAAUGGCUUAGCUGCUGGGAAAAUGAACAUCAGUAUUGAUUUAGACACAAACUAUGCUGAGCUGGUUCUAAAUGUGGGAAGAGUCACUCUUGGAGAGAACAAUAGAAAAAAAAUGAAGGAUUGUCAACUGAGAAAACAGCAGAAUGAAAAUGUCUCACGAGCUGUGUGUGCUCUGCUGAAUUCUGGAGGGGGAGUGAUCAAGGCUGAAGUUGAGAAUAAAGGCUAUAGUUAUAAAAAAGAUGGAAUAGGGCUAGAUUUGGAAAAUUCUUUUAGUAACAUGCUGCCAUUUGUUCCUAAUUUCCUGGACUUCAUGCAGAAUGGUAACUACUUUCACAUUUUUGUGAAAUCAUGGAGCUUGGAAACCUCUGGUCCGCAGAUUGCCACGUUGAGCUCCAGUUUGUACAAGAGAGAUGUAACGUCUGCAAAAGUCAUGAAUGCUUCUGCUGCACUGGAGUUCCUCAAAGACAUGGAAAAAACUGGAGGGAGAGCAUAUUUAAGACCAGAAUUCCCUGCAAAAAGGGCCUGUGUUGAUGUACAAGAAGAAAGUAACAUGGAAGCCUUGGCUGCUGAUUUUUUUAACAGAACAGAACUUGGUUAUAAAGAAAAAUUGACCUUUACUGAAUCCACACACGUUGAAAUAAAAAACUUCUCGACUGAAAAGUUGUUACAACGAAUUACAGAGAUUCUCCCUCAAUAUGUUUCUGCAUUUGCAAAUACUGAUGGAGGAUAUUUAUUCGUUGGUCUAAAUGAAGAUAAAGAAGUAAUUGGCUUUAAAGCAGAGAAGAGUUAUCUUACUAAGUUAGAAGAAGUAACAAAAAAUUCCAUUGGGAAACUGCCUGUGCAUCACUUCUGUGUGGAGAAGGGGACGAUAAAUUACUUAUGCAAAUUCCUUGGAGUAUAUGAUAAAGGAAGGCUUUGUGGAUAUGUGUAUGCACUCAGAGUGGAACGCUUCUGCUGUGCAGUGUUUGCUAAAAAGCCUGAUUCCUGGCACGUGAAAGAUAACAGAGUUAAGCAGUUGACCGAGAAGGAAUGGAUCCAGUUCAUGGUGGAUUCAGAACCAGUAUGUGAGGAACUGCCCUCUCCAGCAAGUACAUCAUCACCUGUCUCCCAGAGUUAUCCUCUUCGUGAAUAUAUUAACUUCAAAAUUCAGCCACUGAGAUAUCACCUUCCAGGGCUAUCAGAAAAGAUAACUUGUGCUCCAAAAACCUUCUGCAGAAAUCUGUUCUCACAACAUGAAGGACUUAAGCAAUUAAUAUGUGAAGAAAUGGGCUCUGUCAAUAAGGGCUCACUGAUCUUCUCUAGGAGCUGGUCUUUGGAUCUGGGCUUGCAAGAGAACCACAAAGUCCUCUGUGAUGCUCUUCUGAUUUCCCAGGACAAGCCUCCAGUCCUAUACACCUUCCACAUGGUACAGGAUGAGGAGUUUAAAGACUAUUCUACACAAACUGCCCAAACUUUAAAACAGAAGCUGGCAAAAAUUGGUGGUUACACUAAAAAAGUGUGUGUCAUGACAAAGAUCUUCUACUUGAGCCCUGAAGGCAAGACAAGCUGCCAGUAUGAUUUAAACUCGCAAGUAAUUUACCCUGAAUCCUACUAUUGGACAACAGCUCAAACAAUGAAAGACUUGGAAAAGGCCCUUUCAAAUAUCUUACCUAAGGAGAAUCAAAUCUUUUUGUUUGUUUGUUUGUUUCGUUUUUGUUUGUUUGUUUGUUGGUUUGUUUGUUUUUUCUUGAGAUGA